rnacentral:rRNA from 1 species
AAUCAACGCUGGCGGCGUGCCUCAGACAUGCAAGUCGAACGAUUAAAGCUCUCUUCGGAGAGUGCAUAGAGUGGCGCACGGGUGAGUAACACGUAAGUAAUCUACCCUCGAGUGGGGAAUAACGUCCGGAAACGGACGCUAAUACCGCAUAAUGCAGCGGCACCGCAAGGUGACAGUUGUUAAAGAUUUAUCGCUUGAGGAGGAGCUUGCGGCAGAUUAGCUAGUUGGUAAGGUAAUGGCUUACCAAGGCUACGAUCUGUAACCGGUCUUAGAGGACGGUCGGUCACACUGACACUGAAUAACGGGUCAGACUCCUACGGGAGGCAGCAGUCGGGAAUUUUGGGCAAUGGGCGAAAGCCUGACCCAGCAACGCCGCGUGAAGGAUGAAGUAUUUCGGUAGUAAACUUCGAAAGAAUAGGAAGAAUAAAUGACGGUACUAUUUAUAAGGUCCGGCUAACUACGUGCCAGCAGCCGCGGUAAUUCUGUGACA